rnacentral:tRNA from 1 species
GGGGGCGUAGCUCAGUUGGGAGAGCGCUUGAAUGGCAUUCAAGAGGUCAGGGGUUCGAUUCCCCUCGUCUCCACCA